GAUGAACGCUGGCGGCGUGCCUAAUACAUGCAAGUCGAGCGAACGGACGAGAAGCUUGCUUCUCUGAUGUUAGCGGCGGACGGGUGAGUAACACGUGGAUAACCUACCUAUAAGACUGGGAUAACUUCGGGAAACCGGAGCUAAUACCGGAUAAUAUUUUGAACCGCAUGGUUCAAAAGUAAAAGACGGUCUUGCUGUCACUUAUAGAUGGAUCCGCGCUGCAUUAGCUAGUUGGUAAGGUAACGGCUUACCAAGGCAACGAUGCAUAGCCGACCUGAGAGGGUGAUCGGCCACACUGGAACUGAGACACGGUCCAGACUCCUACGGGAGGCAGCAGUAGGGAAUCUUCCGCAAUGGGCGAAGGCCUGACGGAGCAACGCCGCGUGAGUGAUGAAGGUCUUCGGAUCGUAAAACUCUGUUAUUAGGGAAGAACAUAUGUGUAAGUAACUGUGCACAUCUUGACGGUACCUAAUCAGAAAGCCACGGCUAACUACGU
rnacentral:rRNA from 1 species